rnacentral:rRNA from 1 species
AACGAACGCUGGCGGCGCGUCUUAAGCAUGCAAGUCGAGCGGUAAGAUGGAAGCUUGCUUCUAUCCUAGAGCGGCGGACUGGUGAGUAACGCGUGGGUGACGUACCUUUGUGACGGGGACAGCUGCUAGAAAUAGCAGAUAAUACCGGAUACGCUGCAUAUUGUCAGAGGAUAUGCAGGAAAGAUUCUUUUGAACCGCACAGAGAGCGGCCCGCGUACUAUUAGCUAGUUGGUGAGGUAACGGCCCACCAAGGCGACGAUAGUUACCCGGCCUAAGAGGGUGAUCGGGCACAUUGGGACUGAGAUACGGCCCAGACUCCUACGGGAGGCAGCAGCUAAGAAUAUUCCGCAAUGGACGAAAGUCUGACGGAGCGACGCCGCGUGGAUGAUGAAGGGCCCGGAAGGUUGUAAAAUCCUUUUAUGACUGAGGAAUAAGGAAGAUGAGAGAAACGUCUUGUGGUGACUGUAGGUCAUGAAUAAGAGGCGGCUAAUUACGUGCCAGCAGCUGC